CGGCUGCUCAGUAACACGUAGUCAACCUAACCUAUGGACGGGAAUAACCUCGGGAAACUGAGAAUAAUGCCCGAUAGAACACUAUACCUGGAAUGGUUUGUGUUCCAAAUGAUUUAUCGCCGUAGGAUGGGACUGCGGCCUAUCAGUUUGUUGGUGAGGUAAUGGCCCACCAAGACUAUUACAGGUACGGGCUCUGAGAGGAGUAGCCCGGAGAUGGGUACUGAGACACGGACCCAGGCCCUAUGGGGCGCAGCAGGCGAGAAAACUUUGCAAUGUGCGAAAGCACGACAAGGUUAAUCCGAGUGGUUUCUGCUGAAGGAACCUUUUGUUAGUCCUAGAAACACUAACGAAUAAGGGGUGGGCAAGUUCUGGUGUCAGCCGCCGCGGUAAAACCAGCACCUCAAGUGGUCAGGAUGAUUAUUGGGCCUAAAGCAUCCGUAGCCGGCUCUGUAAGUUUUCGGUUAAAUCUGUACGCUCAACGUACAGGCCGCCGGGAAUACUGCAGAGCUAGGGAGUGGGAGAGGUAGACGGUACUCGGGAGGAAGUGGUAAAAUGCUUUGAUCUCUCGAUGACCACCUGUGGCGAAGGCGGUCUACCAGAACACGUCCGACGGUGAGGGAUGAAAGCUGGGGGAGCAAACCGGAUUAGAUACCCGGGUAGUCCCAGCUGUAAACUAUGCAAACUCAGUGAUGCAUUGGCUUGUGGCCAAUGCAGUAUUGCAGGGAAGCCGUUAAGUUUGCCGCCUGGGAAGUACGUACGCAAGUAUGAAACUUAAAGGAAUUGGCGGGGGAGCAG
rnacentral:rRNA from 1 species